AGAGCGAACGCUGGCGGCAGGCCUAACACAUGCAAGUCGAGCGCCCGUAGCAAUACGGGAGCGGCAGACGGGAUAGUAACACGUGGGAACGCGCCCUUCGGUUCGGAAUAACUCAGGGAAACUUGUGCUAAUACCGGAUAAGCCCUUACGGGGAAAGAUUUAUCGCCAAAGGAUCGGCCCGCGUCUGAUUAGCUUGUUGGUGAGGUAACGGCUCACCAAGGCUACGAUCAGUAGCUGGUCUGAGAGGAUGAUCAGCCUCACUGGGACUGAGACACGGCCCAGACUCCUACGGGAGCAGCAGUGGGGAAUAUUGGACAAUGGGCGCAAGCCUGAUCCAGCCAUGCCGCGUGGAUGAUGAAGGCCUUAGGGUUGUAAAGUCCUUUUAACGGGGAAGAUAAUGACGGUACCGUAGAAUAAGCCCCGGCUAACUUCGUGCCAGCAGCCGC
rnacentral:rRNA from 1 species